rnacentral:lncRNA from 1 species
UUUACGUACGCUACUCAAUUAUCAACAAACAAGAAAAGCAUAAAUAAAGUUAGAAUUUUGGAAAAAGAACCGACAUGUAAAUCUCCAGUACUGCAAACCCUUCUCAUUUGGCUAGAAGAGGAGCUCAAGACUUGGGUAUGGAAAUUAGGAGACUCCAUAAGACUAUCAAGCCGAGGUUGGAACAAGAAACUGGGCAUCCCAUCAAAACUGUUGCUGCUAAAACUCCUCUGCAUCAUCUUCACUGCAUUUUCACACCCACCACCAUAACUAGGAACAAAGGAAUUGCUGUAAUCAAAAGCAGAGC